rnacentral:rRNA from 1 species
GUGUCAGCAGCCGCGGUAAUACAGAGGUGCGAGCGUUAAUCGGAUUUACUGGGCGUAAAGCGUGCGUAGGCGGCUUUUUAAGUUCGGAUGUGAAAAUCCCCUGAGCUUAACUUAGGAAUUGCAUUCGAUACUGGGAAGCUAGAGGUAUGGGAGAGGAUGGUAGAAUUCCAGGUGUAGCGGUGAAAUGACGUAGAGAUCUGGAGAAUACCGAUGGCGAAGGCAGCCAUCUGGCCUAAUACGUGACGCUGAGGUACGAAAGCAUGGGGAGCAAACAGGAUUAGAUACCCUGGUAGUCCCAUGCCGUAAACGAUGUCUACUAGCCGUUGGGGCCUUUGAGGCUUUAG